rnacentral:rRNA from 1 species
CCUANGGGUGGCAGCAGUGGGGAAUUUUGGACAAUGGGGGCAACCCUGAUCCAGCCAUUCCGCGUGAGUGAAGAAGGCCUUCGGGUUGUAAAGCUCUUUCGCAAGGGAAGAAAACUUAUCUAAUAACACUAGGUGAGGCUGACGGUACCUUGAUAAGAAGCACCGGCUAACUACGUGCCAGCAGCCGCGGUAAUACGUAGGGUGCGAGCGUUAAUCGGAAUUACUGGGCGUAAAGCGUGCGCAGGCGGUUUGAUAAGUCAGAUGUGAAAUCCCCGGGCUUAACCUGGGAAUGGCGUUUGGGACUGCAAGGCUAGAGUACGGCAGAGGGGACUAGAAUUCCUGGUGUAGCAGUGAAAUGCGUAGAUAUCAGGAGGAAUACCGAUGGCGAAGGCAGGUCCCUGGGUUAGUACUGACGCUCAUGCACGAAAGCGUGGGGAGCAAACAGGAUUAGAUACCCCGNUANUC